GAUGGGCUCCGAAGCUAACGCGAUAAAAUCGACGCUGGGAGUACGGCCGCAAGGUUAAAACUCAAAUGAAUUGACGGGGGCCCGCACAAGCGGUGGAGCAUGUGGUUUAAUUCGAUGCAACGCGAAGAACCUUACCUGGUCUUGACAUCCAUAGAAUUCUGCAGAGAUGUGGGAGUGCUUUCGGGAACUAUGAGACAGGUGCUGCAUGGCUGUCGUCAGCUCGUGUUGUGAAAUGUUGGGUUAAGUCCCGCAACGAGCGCAACCCUUAUUCUUUGUUGCCAGCGAUUUGGUCGGGAACUCAAAGGAGACUGCCGUUGAUAAAGCGGAGGAAGGUGGGGACGACGUCAAGUCAUCAUGGCCCUUACGACCAGGGCUACACACGUGCUACAAUGGCGUAUACAAAGGGAAGCGAAGGUGCGAGCUGGAGCGGAUCUCAUAAAGUACGUCUAAGUUCGGAUUGGAGUCUGCAACUCGACUCCAUGAAGUCGGAAUCGCUAGUAAUCGUAGAUCAGAAUGCUACGGUGAAUACGUUCCCGGGCCUUGUACACACCGCCCGUCACACCAUGGGAGUGGGUUGCACCAGAAGUAGAUAGCUUAACCGCGAGGGGGGCGUUUACCACGGUGUGAUUCAUGACUGGGGUGAAGUCGUAACAAGGUAACCA
rnacentral:rRNA from 1 species